GAUGAACGCUGGCGGCGUGCCUAAUACAUGCAAGUCGAGCGAACAGACGAGGAGCUUGCUCCUCUGACGUUAGCGGCGGACGGGUGAGUAACACGUGGAUAACCUACCUAUAAGACUGGGAUAACUUCGGGAAACCGGAGCUAAUACCGGAUAAUAUAUUGAACCGCAUGGUUCAAUAGUGAAAGACGGUUUUGCUGUCACUUAUAGAUGGAUCCGCGCCGCAUUAGCUAGUUGGUAAGGUAACGGCUUACCAAGGCAACGAUGCGUAGCCGACCUGAGAGGGUGAUCGGCCACACUGGAGCGUGGACACGGUCCAGACUCCUACGGGAGGCAGCAGUAGGGAAUCGUCCGCAAUGGGCGAAAGCUUGACGGAGCAACGCCACGUGAGUGAUGAAGAUCUUCGGAUCGUAAUACUCUGUUAUUAGUGAAGAACAAAUGUGUAAGUAACUAUGCACGUCUUGACGGUACCUAAUCAGAAAGCCACGGCUAACUACGUG
rnacentral:rRNA from 1 species